rnacentral:rRNA from 1 species
AUCGAACGCUGGCGGCAGGCCUAACACAUGCAAGUCGAGCGAGCGGCGGACGGGUGAGUAAUGUCUGGGAAACUGCCUGAUGGAGGGGGAUAACUACUGGAAACGGUAGCUAAUACCGCAUACCAUCAGAUGUGCCCAGAUGUGAUUGGCUAGUAGGUGGGGUAACGGCUCACCUAGGCGACGAUCCCUAGCUGGUCUGAGAGGAUGACCAGCCACACUGGAACGUAGACGCGGACCAGGCUCCUACGGGAGGCCGCAGUGGGGAAUAUUGCGCAAUGGGCGCAAGCCUGGUGCAGCGGUGCCGCGUGUGUGAAGAAGGCCUUCGGGUUGUAAAGCACUUUCAGCGGGGGGGCGUUACCCGCAGAAGAAGCACCGGCUAACUCCGUGCCAGCAGCCGCGGUAAUUC